UACGGAAGGCAGCAGUGGGGAAUAUUGCACAAUGGGCGCAAGCCUGAUGCAGCCAUGCCGCGUGUAUGAAGAAGGCCUUCGGGUUGUAAAGUACUUUCAGUCGUGAGGAAGGUGUUAAGGUUAAUAACCUUAGCAAUUGACGUUAGCGACAGAAGAAGCACCGGCUAACUCCGUGCCAGCAGCCGCGGUAAUACGGAGGGUGCGAGCGUUAAUCGGAAUUACUGGGCGUAAAGGGCACGCAGGCGGUUAAUUAAGUUGGAUGUGAAAUCCCCGGGCUUAACCUGGGAAUGGCAUUCAAGACUGGUUAGCUAGAGUCUUGUAGAGGGGGUAGAAUUCCAUGUGUAGCGGUGAAAUGCGUAGAGAUGUGGAGGAAUACCGGUGGCGAAGGCGGCCCCUGGACAAGACUGACGCUCAUGUGCGAAAGCGUGGGGAGCAAACAGGAUUAGAUACC
rnacentral:rRNA from 1 species